GGAUUGACACAUCGGUCGUGCCUUAAGGGGUAUGAACUGGUGUAGUCAAUUUCUCACCUUCUGGAGAACCACGAUGCCAUUAAUUUGGUGUUUUGGGGAAUUUGGACUGUUACUUUGAAAAAAUUAGAGUGUUUAAAGCAAGCUAACGCUUGAAUACAUUAGCAUGGAAUAAUGAAAUAGGACGUUCGAUCCUAUUUUGUUGGUUUCUAGGAUUGACGUA
rnacentral:rRNA from 1 species